rnacentral:rRNA from 1 species
GACUAGCUAGUUGGUGGGGUAAAGGCCUACCAAGGCNACGAUCUGUAGCUGGUCUGAGAGGAUGAUCAGCCACACUGGGACUGAGACACGGCCCAGACUCCUACGGGAGGCAGCAGUGGGGAAUUUUGGACAAUGGGGGCAACCCUGAUCCAGCCAUUCCGCGUGAGUGAAGAAGGCCUUCGGGUUGUAAAGCUCUUUCNGCAGGAACGAAACGCGAGCUCUAACAUAGCUCGCUAAUGACGGUACCUGAAGAAGAAGCACCG